rnacentral:rRNA from 1 species
UACGUAGGGGGCAAGCGUUGUCCGGAUUUAUUGGGCGUAAAGAGCGUGUAGGCGGCCAGAUAGGUCCGUUGUGAAAACUCGAGGCUCAACCUCGAGACGCCGAUGGAAACCAUUUGGCUAGAGUCCGGAAGAGGAGAGUGGAAUUCCUGGUGUAGCGGUGAAAUGCGCAGAUAUCAGGAAGAACACCCGUGGCUAAGGCGGCUCUCUAGUACGGUACUGACGCUGAGACGCGAAAAGCGUGGGGGAGCGAACAGG